rnacentral:lncRNA from 1 species
GAUUAUUUGUGGAUAUCCUCUAUCUAGCUGGAUCGUGUGGUAGGCCGCGUAGGUGACAGUUACGUUGGUCCCCUGUAGUCCACCUCCUGUUAGCGGGACGGGUAGGGUUUAUCGGCCUAUGGAUAAGCAUCCUUGCGUUGUAUUCUUAUCACGUGGUUCGUCCUAGACAUAGACAUAUCCCUUUGAAUUAGAGAAACCAUAGUUAUCCUCUCUAUUCUCCUACAAUCGCCCAUAUACUAGAAUUGCUCUACUCUCUAUUCCCAUAUUAUCAUCCAUUGUUAUCUUACCUUUAAUAUUGUUCUUAUUCAAUUCGACCAUCUUUCCUAUUUACACCUGUCUAUCUAUCUUGGUUAAGUUAGAGCGUAGAUCAGUUCUCCCGUUUCCCUGUGGAUACGAUAAAACCUUUAACUGGGUAAAAGCUACAACGGUAUCCGUGCGCUUGCAGAUUAUCUAUGUGCGUAUAAAUACCGUAGUACACUCUAGUGCCAUGCUGGGGAUGACAACCUAGUAUUCAAGUGGUGUUAGCAAGUGUCAACAAGCAUUUUUGGCGCCGUUGCCGGGGAGACGGUUGCUGAGUUGACUACGAACUAGCUUAAUCAUUUUCUAAAAAAAUA